GCCGGGCGACGAGCGGCUCGGCCGCCCCGGGCCGGCAGCGCAUGGAAGGCACCUCAGCCCCGGGAGCAGGAGCAAUUUGUAAUCUGCAACAAAGCAAAACUUUCUUCUUCAAACAGUCUUUCUAAAGUGUCUGCAUUUGACUCCGAUACUGAAGGGUCAUCCAUGUACGGUAAACUACAGACUGAGGAAUGUGCUUGCUUGUCGUUUCCAACAGCUGCUGGACAGCCAUAGGGGUUUGUCUGUCAACCAUUUUAAAGAAACCCAAAGACGACUUUCCAGCUUCUGUCAUCAGCAAGGAUGGAACAGCAGCCAGCCAGAGAGCAGAAGUGAUAGUCUGGACUGGGCUCAGAGGUGCCUAGGAGCCUGGCACGGAGAACUCCGGAAGCCCAAUGUCCGUUGUGAAUCACUGUUCAUACAGUGAUGCUGCUGCCUUACUUUGACCUUGUAAAGAUCCCUGAUUACAGUAGACACCAUCCAAAAGUAUCCCCACCACGCAUGGUCAUCUUUGUUUUGUUGCUUAAAAAAUAAGAGGUAGGUGUGUGCAUGUGUUCAUUCAAGAACACAAUGAUUUGGGUACCACAAGAGAAAAAGCACAGUGACUGUCUACAGUUAGAAAUCUGCUUAACCGGGCUGAAGAGAUGGUUUAGUGGUUAAGAGCACUGGCUGUUCUUCCAGAGGUCCUGAGUUCAAUUCCCAGCAACCACAUGAUGGCUCACAACCAUCCGUAGUAAG